AUGGUUUUCUCCUUGAGAGAGAAGAAUAUCCAAGAUAAACAAGCAAAUGAGGUCGCAAUGUUUGACAUGCACAGGCACAAUGGAGUGGUGAAACUGAGAAAAGCAUGCAGAAUAGUUGUGGAACAUCUUCGUAGGUCUCAAGCUGAUUCAGAGGACAGAGGUGGUCAAACAAAGCUAAUAGUUGAAUGGCUCACUAUGCUAACAAACCUAAUAGUUGAAUGGUUCACUAUGCUACUAUAUGCGUUUCUGAAGCACAUGAGGUACCAGCGUGAGAAGCUUGAUUUACAGCAAUCGAAGGUGUGGACUAAGGAGUUGCAGUUGAAGGAAAAGUUCCUUCACGAAGCAAAAUAUGGCCAAUUAGAUCAUACUUUUGAUCAGCGUAUUUAUUUACCAGAUUCAGGCUUUGCUAUUGAGGAAUUCAGCCACUUUAACUCCUGUGUUGAUACAGCUACUUUGGCAAACUGUCCGCAGUCUUUGCACAAAACUUCAGUGAUGGAAGUUACAUUGGUUGGUAGUGUGAUUCCAUCUGAUGUAAUCAAUGCAGACACAGCGAGAAAUGGUUCUGCUGAAGUUCUUAUCCACAAUGAAGGCAGGCUAGCAUCAGAAGGUAUUGGUUUGACAGAGAACAUGAUCAGCAAUAGUAUUGAUUGCAUCGACUCGCAAGGAGGGGCAUCUCUGGCUGUUCAACAUCAACUAAAUUCUAGUCCUGCAAUUGAUAAUUCUAUUAAUCAGGAAUCUUCAAGUGGGGAACAUAGAAGGACUGAACAUGUUGAGCGACAGAGUGGCGUGGGUUUGCAACAAUUACCGGGAGAGACUGACCAACAUUUAGGAGAUGCUGAAAUGGAAGUUGACACCGGCAAUGGGGACAAUACUCAGGCAGAUCCACCUUACUUAGAACCACAGACUGUGGCGCCUGUGCCCAGCCACGCUUCCUUGCAAAAGCCUAAGGAAGUCGAAGCUGUGGCCAAUCUUGUAAUGCAGUCAGCCCAACCACUUGUAGCACCAGCACGACGUCUGCAAAGAGAGGCAGAACAAGCAGAUCGUUCUGGUAUAACACAAGCUCAGACUUUGCAACCUGAAAUGCAACCAUCAGCAUCCAGGGAAGCUUAUACUCAGACAGAUGUGAUAAUUCAGUCUGCACAACCAAGUAUGGUGCCAACUGAGCUUUCACAAAGAGAUGUAGAACAAGCAAGCCUUUCUCGUGCACCGUUGUCUCAGUGUUUGCCAUCUGCAAUGCAUCCAUCGGCUCCACUGUCCAGUAUUCCGCUUGAAAGAACACACCCUGAUCAGUGUCAACCAAGUCAUCAACCCGAGGCUGCACUGGGUUCUUCAGCACAACUCUUUCCGGUGGCAUCAAUGAUUCUUAACCAUCCACCACUUGGUGAUGAUGCACUGAGAAAUGAGUUGCACAGAUUACGAUUACACAUUGACUCGCUUAAUAAAACCCACCAACUAAAGCAAUCACAACUUAGGACCGAGUAUAGCCAAGAAAUGGAGAAGCUCAAACAAAAGUAUGAUUUGUUACUUCAAAAACAAGAUUCCACUCAUCUUCAGCAAACGAAGACACUUCAUAAUUUAUGUGAGAAAGUUCUCCUCAACCUGUCACUAGCUGACGAUCUUCGGGGUCAAUUCAUAUCUUAUGGAGAACAAGUUGGAGCCCACAGCCCUCCAAAUCACCAGACACCCCAGGCUUCUCAGCAAGUUCCCACGAGUCCUUCAGCGGUGGCAUCGACUGCAUCACCAACUGCGUCGUCGUCAGCUGGUCGACCACCAGCGCCGACGCAUCAUGUCCAACCGUUGCAGGUCGAUCGACCAUCACCAUCAUCAUCACCAUCUUCACAAGUGGUCAGACCACAUCCCUCCAUACUAAGCAACAUUGCCAGAUCAACAUCAACUAGAUUUAGCCUCGCGCCAGUUCUGCCACCAGGAAGCUUUGGAGUCCAGAGUGAACUAGCACGUGCACCUGCUCCUCAUCUUCAGCGCAGGUUGCCUCCACAGGUGCAUUCAAUGGCAUCUGCAAAUCAGCAGCAGCUUCCAACUAGGCUGGAGAGCAUGUCUGCAAGGACAUGGUCUACCCCUGUCACUCCAAUAAAUAUAAGACAAUCAUGCCCACAGGCCGCUCCCCCAGGGAACCCAUCACUGUCAAGCUUGCACCCAAGUUCACACCUCACUAUACCGGCACCCUUGGGGCCAUCAAGUUCACAUCAAAUUCGGCAGGUUCCAGCAGUGCCAUCAAGUUCACACCCAACACACCUGCUGUCGCCAGUACCUUCGAUUCCAAAUCCAGUUCUUCCACUAACAUCACCGCGAGGUUUGACAACGAAAUCUAGCGUUUCAUCAGCUGCAUUGAAUGUGUUGCCAAGUAAAGGUGUUGGGCCUUCAGCAUCAGGCUCGCCGGAGUCAGAUUCUGAUUCAGCAUCACUGGAUGAAUGGCUAACAGGUCUUGGGCUGCCCAGUGAUCCCCAUGACAUGGCGGCUUCUGCUAAUGUAAUAUACCUAUCUGAUGAUGAAGAGACCGGUGACCAAAACAAGCAAAAAAUGGCGCUCAUCACUGAAGAGCUCCAACAGAAGCUUGCGGUCGAAGGUGGUGCUUGCAAACAAGAAAAGUGA
rnacentral:rRNA from 1 species